CAGGUAGUGACAGUAAGAAGAAGGACCUGUUUCACCCUCAGGAGGUUGCAGGCUGCUGAAUUCAGAGCCCAAAGGGGAGAGGAGUGCUGAAUUAUUGCUAUUUGGCAUCUAUGUGCAAGGUGCGCGGGAAGGAAAGGAAAUGAAGAGGCUGAGAAGAAAGCAAGCGAGACGCCCGCGACGUCACUCUGCCUCUGGCAGGAAGGUCUCCGGAGGACCCAGGCGCCAGGGCUCCUGCCGCAGCAGCCCAGUGCCCGGCUGCAAGGUUUCCAUAUCUACGGAGAAGGACCCUGCGGCUGGGCACCUGGGCCUGCACUGCUCUCCUCUGCUCUGUGGGUGCCAAGGACACUGCCAGGGCCACCUGAGCGUCCUUCUCAUUCUGCACAGUGGCUGUGAUGCUGUGGCCAACAGAGGAAUCUCUAUCAUCAUCAUAAACAUCUGGCUUGGGAGAAAGUUUUCAGCAGACAAAGCACAGAACCACAGAUGCCACUUCUAA
rnacentral:lncRNA from 1 species